UACGUAGGUGGCAAGCGUUGUCCGGAUUUACUGGGCGUAAAGAGCGCGCAGGCGGUCGUUCAAGUCGCGUGUGAAAGCCCCCGGCUCAACUGGGGAGGGUCACGCGAUACUGAUCGACUCGAAGGCAGGAGAGGGUAGUGGAAUUCCCGGUGUAGUGGUGAAAUGCGUAGAUAUCGUAAGGAAGACCAGUGGCGAAGGCGAGUCUCUGGACAGCAACUGACGCUGAGGCACGAAGGCCAGGGGAGCAAACGGG
rnacentral:rRNA from 1 species